GGCACUGGAGAAGGGUAGGAGGAACGUGGCACCCCUCGGGGUGUGUUAUAGCCUCCUACUGGAUACAGCGACCGAGACCGAGGACAGCAGCGUACUCGCAAGAGCGGGCCUUCGGGCACCUUUACGCUUAGGGCGUUGGCAUAAUGGCCCUCUACCACCCGUCUUGAAACACGGACCAAGGAGUCUAACAUGUAUGCGAGUCUUUGGGUGGCAAACCCAUAGGCGCAAUGAAAGUGAAUUCAGGUGGGAUCCGCAAGGUGCACCAUCGACCGAUCCUCACGUCUUUUAAGUCGUGGAUUUGAGUAAGAGCAUACCUGUUGGGACCCGAAAGAUGGUGAACUAUGCCUGAAUAGGGUGAAGCCAGAGGAAACUCUGGUGG
rnacentral:rRNA from 2 species